AUGGACAGGGAUCUGUUCCGGACGGUGAAGCAGGGGACGCGGAACCAGGCCAGGCUCCUGUACCACCGCCUGGUGUGCCGCCUGCCGCACCUCCUCGCCGUCACGCUGCUCCUCGUCGUGGCCCCGCGGCUGGUGUCCACGCUGUCCCUCGCCGCGCUCUGGAGCGAGGCGCGCGCCAACGCGGCCGUGCUGUUGGCCGCGUGCGCGGGCUGCGCCGCCGCGGCGUACGCCUACGCCAUGUCGCGGCCGCGGCCCGUGUACCUGGUGGACCUGGCCGGGUACAAGCCCGGGCCGGCGCACGAGGCGACGCGCGCGCAGGCCAUCCGCCAGUUCGGGCUGGCCGGCGGGUUCGACGACGAGAGCAUGUCGUUCCAGAAGCGGAUGAUGGAGCGGUCGGGGCUCGGCGAGGCCACGCACUUCCCGGCGUCGCUGAUGAGCAUCCCCGUGGACAUGUGCCUCCAGACGGCGAGGGACGAGUCGGAGGCCGUCGUAUUCGGCGUCGUGGACGAGCUGCUGGCCAAGACCGGCGUGCGCGCGGAGGACAUCGGCGUCGUCAUCGCCAACUCCAGCCUCUACAGCCCCACGCCGUCCUUCGUGUCGCUGAUCGUGAACCGGUACCGCCUCCGCCACGACGUCGUCAGCCACAACCUCAGCGGCAUGGGCUGCAGCGCCGGCAUCAUCGCCAUCGACCUCGCCAAGCACCUCCUUCAGGUGCACCCGGACACGUACGCGCUGGUGGUGAGCACGGAGAACAUCACGCUCAACGCCUACCUCGGCAACAACCGCCCCAUGCUGGUCACCAACACGCUCUUCCGGGUGGGCGGCGCGGCGGUGCUGCUCUCCAACCGCCGCCAGGAGCGGGCGCGCGCCAAGUACCAGCUCAUCCACACCGUGCGCACGCACCGGGGCGCCAGUGACCGGAGCUACGGCUGCGUGACGCAGGAGGAAGACGACGCCGGCCAUGUCGGCGUCUCGCUCUCCAAGGAGCUCAUGUCCGUGGCCGGCGAGGCGCUGCGCACCAACAUCACCACGCUGGGGCCGCUCGUGCUCCCGCUUUCCGAGCAGCUCCGCUUCCUCGCCACCGUCGUGCUCAAGCGCGUCUUCCGCGCCGACGUCAAGCCGCACAUCCCGGACUUCACGCUCGCGCUCGACCACUUCUGCAUCCACGCCGGCGGGCGCGGGGUGCUGGACGAGCUGGAGCGCAGCCUCAAGCUCAGCGCCUGGCACAUGGAGCCGUCCCGGAUGACGCUCUACCGCUUCGGCAACACCUCCAGCAGCUCGCUCUGGUACGAGCUCGCCUACUGCGAGGCCAAGGGUAGGAUCAAGAAGGGCGACCGGGUGUGGCAGAUCGCCUUCGGCUCCGGCUUCAAGUGCAACAGCGCCGUCUGGAAGGCGCUCAGGGCGGUCGACGCCGUCGCCGUCGGGGACACCGGCAGCCCCUGGGCGCAGGACGUCGACGUGCUGCCGGUGCACGUGCCCAAGGUGGUGCCCAUCGACGACGACGAGGCGUCAUACAAGACGGCCGCCGCCUAG
rnacentral:rRNA from 1 species